rnacentral:rRNA from 1 species
AAAGAUUAAGCCAUGCAUGUCUAAGUAUAAGCAAUCUAUACAGUGAAACUGCGAAUGGCUCAUUAAAUCAGUUAUCGUUUAUUUGAUAGUACCUUACUACUUGGAUAACCGUGGUAAUUCUAGAGCUAAUACAUGCUAAAAAUCCCGACUUCGGAAGGGAUGUAUUUAUUAGAUUAAAAACCAAUGCCCUCCGGGGCUCACUGGUGAUUCAUGAUAACUUCUCGAAUCGCACGGCCUUGCGCCGGCGAUGGUUCAUUCAAAUUUCUUCCCUAUCAACUUUCGAUGUUUGGGUAUUGGCCAAACAUGGUUG